AGCGAAGGCCCUGGGAGGUGCAGCUGGGUGGCCACCGGGACGUGUUGGCACACGGGGUUCCUGGUACGAUUCCUUUGGAGAAAUAUUUACAUAAAUUAGAGGAACAUAGAGGAGUUAUUUGCCUUACAUUGUAAAACACCAGAGCACGCUCCCCUUUAAUUACGCCUGACACCUCUGCCAGCGUCCUGUUCUUGGACAGCCGGUCACCCAUUCAUCCCUUCAACAAGAACAGGCACCCAGAGGACAGAGGUUCACACGCACAUGUCAGACUCCCAGACACAGCAGGGGACUCGGGCAGGCCCCCUGCACUGCCCUGAAGUGGGAUUCAGGAGCACAGGGCCACAGCUUGCCUCCUCUCCCUUGGCGUCUUUCCUUCCAGCUGUGGGCCCCCACCUUCCCCUUUUCUUCUUUGUCACUAUAGUGUUUUAGAGUCCAUCCCUGUGUGUUUAUUUUCUCAGAUUUUUUUGGUUGUGACAGAAAACCAGCUCAAAGUGGCUCUUACAAAUGAGGGCAUGUAUUGAUUGGCUUCUGAGACUGCUAAGUGUCAAGCGUCACCUCUUUCGCCUUGCUGUGGACCGUCGUGGUGCAAUGCAUGUACACCCUACGAUGUUAACACCUGGGCCCUAGGACUGACUGACUUUUGCCCACCUGAACUGGGUCAGGGACCAAUAGAGGCAGGAACCCCUGCUUAUCCAAGGAAGUGAGGGUCCGGGACCAGAAUGACAGAUGGAGGCUGGCAGCAAAAACGGGGCAGGAAUGUCUCCUCACCACCUGGGGAGAAUUUUCUUGCACUUUCUGCCCCCAGGAGACAUAAGACAGGAGAGAGAGGAGAGCCCUUCCAAAAGAGCUCCCAUAGCCCUGACCCACUUCACCUUCUAGAAGCUCCUGGAGUACUGUCCUGGGCUUGCUCCCCCUGUGGCCACCCUGCUCCUCUCCAGGGGUAAAACACAUUCAGUGACCAACUUGGAACCCAGCGUGCCUUCCAGCAUCCUCAGGCCUGGGCUGUACCGGUACCUUCAUCUAGCAGCUGAGCAGGAGUCUGGACAGCUGGCACAGAAGUCAGUGGUGAGAAGAGAGCCCAUGGAAACCCUGCAGAGAGUGAGAAUGAGCACAUAUCUCACCUUCCACUUCACAGGCUUGGGGCAGGACUCCCUGGGCAUGGAGGACAAUCAGGGCCUGCCUCUGUCUGUCCUGCACCUCCAGCAUCCAAGGACAUGCACCCACAGUGUGGGUGGCCCAGGUAGAGGUGGUGUGUACCAAGAGUUCCCACAGGAAAACCCUGUGCUCUCGAUUCGGCAUCAGGAACAUAGAAGCCAAGACUGCGGCAGGGACACAAGCUUGCUACUACAGGGCCUUAGUGCCACCUUCAAGGGAAGUGUUUCCCUGUGGUUGGGGCAGGUCUGGUUCUCUGAGUGGCUGUUGUCCCAGGAGGAGAGCCCGAGGGUGCUUGUGCUGGAAGGGACCUACCCUGGGGCUUCCAGCCUAGGUGUGGGACCCAGCAUCAGUGCAUUUGGGUUUUAGAAUAGGCUUUGCUUGGUGGGAGACCCAGCUUUAGCCUCAUGGCCCCUCACCUGGCAUCAGUCCUGCCACUCUGCCCACCCCUGGCCCUGACUGGGAGGGGUGGUGAGCUUAACACUACACUGCCACCUGGUGGACAGCCAGAAAAAGGCGCUGUGGGGUACCAGCCCCAGAGUGGUGGGACAGGUUAGCAGGGACAAAGCAGGAGGCCACAGACUUGUGUGGGCAAGUACAGGUGCAGAGCAGAUGUACUUGGUUUGUAGGACCAGGCUGGAAUCUGGACUCUGCUUCUGGAAAGUGCACCCUUCAAGCUGGCCAUUUCAGAAGGGAAGAGUAACACACUCCCCUAGGGCCCAAGAGGAGACUGUGUGAGUUACGGUUCUGCCACGGAGCAGUGGAGUGAUUAGCCUGGACCUGCAAAAGGAAUGUCUGGGGAUGGCCUGUGAGCUUACCCUGCAGAAGUCUCCUGUUCACGUUUCCAAAGGGCCCCGUGACAACUUUUCUUUUAAAUGGAGCAAAACAUCGCCAGCAAGAAGUUAGCAGUUCCGUCCAGUCUUGUGGCACUUAGCGCACUCAUGGUGGGGGAUGGCCGCCAGCUCGACCUGGUCCUCAUCAUUUCCAUCAACCCGGAGGAGCCCCACAGCAUGAGCGGUCGUAUCCCACCCCAGCCCAGCCUAGCCCGGCCACCGCCUGUCUGAGAGGUUGCCUAUCUAGAUGUUUUGUCUACAAGGCCACAUGGCACUACCUGCAAUGUCCAACUUCUCACUGGGCAGUACAGUGAGGGUCCCCUGAGCCUUCACCCUGUAUGCUGAGUGAUGUUCCACUGCAUGUGCUUGUGACAGUGUGAUCUUCACGUGCCAGCUGGUGGGUUUGGGGUAGACAUCUGGAUUUGGAACUGCUGGUUCACAUGGUGACCACCUCCAGCUUUUUCAAGAUGUGGAGAAACGAUCUUGUGUAGUGGCCACACCACUUAACGUUCCCUCCAGCAGUGGACGAGGCUCCCAGUGUCUCCACAUCCUUACUAAUACUUAAUUUCCCUUUUUGUUUA